CAUCCACUAGAUCUUUCAUGAGAAAUUUGAGCCAUUGAUUAAUGUUAUUAAAUGGAAAUAAGGUAUAGUAAAUGAGCAAGAGACGCAAACCUUAUUCAUUCUCAUCUCCUCUCCCACCGAACCAAGAAAGAAGAAAGGAGUUUUGGCUUUGGUUUUCCUUCAUUGCCGUAAGAAAUAUUGGUUGAAAUGGAGGAACAACGUAAGGAUAAAAACAGAAGACAAACAAAUAAUUCAGUGACGAUUAGGUCUCAUGGAUACAAAAAGUUCGACAGCAUCCGUGGCUCACUUCUCAACUAAGCAACGUUUGUAUAAUCUUUAGAAUAUAAUGUACUUAGUGUCAAAGCUAGCUUUAGAACCCCUUUCUAUGAUUUAAAUUUAGAAUGCUAGUGAAUUGUAAGCUAUAUGUGAAGUGGUAUGAAUAUGACGUUAUGUUGGUAUGCAUGAUCAUUACAUGGUGUUUACUCAAUGAAACAGGUGUAGGUUGCAUGCUAAGUAAGUUAAAUUGAUGUGUUCAGUUGGGUUAUUGAGGGAUUAAUGUUUGAUUAUCACGAUGAAUUCAAUGUACGAGUUAGUUUGAGUUAUUUUAACUACGAAUAUGGUAUCUUAUAUUUGAUCUCA